rnacentral:rRNA from 1 species
GGCCAGACUCCUACGGGAGGCAGCAGUGGGGAAUAUUGCACAAUGGGGGAAACCCUGAUGCAGCGACGCCGCGUGAAGGAAGAAGUAUUUCGGUAUGUAAACUUCUAUCAGCAGGGAAGAAAAUGACGGUACCUGACUAAGAAGCCCCGGCUAACUACGUGCCAGCAGCCGCGGUAAUACGUAGGGGGCAAGCGUUAUCCGGAUUUACUGGGUGUAAAGGGAGCGUAGGCGGUUUAGCAAGUCAGAAGUGAAAGCCCGGGGCUCAACUCCGGGACUGCUCUGGAAACUGCGUCGCUGGAGUACGGGAGGGGCAGGCGGAAUUCCUGGUGUAGCGGUGAAAUGCGUAGAUAUCAGGGGGAACACCGGCGGCGAAGGCGGCCUGCUGGACCGUGACUGACGUUGAGGCUCGAGAGCGUGGGGAGCAAACAGGAUUAGAUACCCCAGUAU